rnacentral:rRNA from 2 species
UUAAGCGACUAAGCGUACACGGUGGAUGCCCUGGCAGUCAGAGGCGAUGAAGGACGUGCUAAUCUGCGAUAAGCGUCGGUAAGGUGAUAUGAACCGUUAUAACCGGCGAUUUCCGAAUGGGGAAACCCAGUGUGUUUCGACACACUAUCAUUACGUGAAUACAUAGCGUAAUGAAGCGAACCGGGGGAACUGAAACAUCUAAGUACCCCGAGGAAAAGAAAUCAACCGAGAUUCCCCCAGUAGCGGCGAGCGAACGGGGAGCAGCCCAGAGUCUGAAUCAGCUUGUGUGUUAGUGGAACGGUCUGGAAAGUCCGACGGUACAGGGUGAUAGUCCCGUACACCAAAAUGCACAGGUUGUGAACUCGAAGAGUAGGGCGGGACACGUGGUAUCCUGUCUGAAUAUGGGGGGACCAUCCUCCAAGGCUAAAUACUCCUGACUGACCGAUAGUGAACCAGUACCGUGAGGGAAAGGCGAAAAGAACCCCGGCGAGGGGAGUGAAAAAGAACCUGAAACCGUGUACGUACAAGCAGUGGGAGCCUCUUUAUGGGGUGACUGCGUACCUUUUGUAUAAUGGGUCAGCGACUUAUAUUCUGUAGCAAGGUUAACCGUAUAGGGGAGCCGAAGGGAAACCGAGUCUUAACUGGGCGUUAAGUUGCAGGGUAUAGACCCGAAACCCGGUGAUCUAGCCAUGGGCAGGUUGAAGGUUGGGUAACACUAACUGGAGGACCGAACCGACUAAUGUUGAAAAAUUAGCGGAUGACUUGUGGCUGGGGGUGAAAGGCCAAUCAAACCGGGAGAUAGCUGGUUCUCCCCGAAAGCUAUUUAGGUAGCGCCUCGUGAAUUCAUCUUCGGGGGUAGAGCACUGUUUCGGCUAGGGGGUCAUCCCGACUUACCAACCCGAUGCAAACUGCGAAUACCGAAGAAUGUUAUCACGGGAGACACACGGCGGGUGCUAACGUCCGUCGUGAAGAGGGAAACAACCCAGACCGCCAGCUAAGGUCCCAAAGUCAUGGUUAAGUGGGAAACGAUGUGGGAAGGCACAGACAGCCAGGAUGUUGGCUUAGAAGCAGCCAUCAUUUAAAGAAAGCGUAAUAGCUCACUGGUCGAGUCGGCCUGCGCGGAAGAUGUAACGGGGCUAAACCAUGCACCGAAGCUGCGGCAGCGACACUAUGUGUUGUUGGGUAGGGGAGCGUUCUGUAAGCCGUUGAAGGUGUGCUGUGAGGCAUGCUGGAGGUAUCAGAAGUGCGAAUGCUGACAUAAGUAACGAUAAUGCGGGUGAAAAACCCGCACGCCGGAAGACCAAGGGUUCCUGUCCAACGUUAAUCGGGGCAGGGUGAGUCGACCCCUAAGGCGAGGCCGAAAGGCGUAGUCGAUGGGAAACAGGUUAAUAUUCCUGUACUUGGUGUUACUGCGAAGGGGGGACGGAGAAGGCUAUGUUAGCCGGGCGACGGUUGUCCCGGUUUAAGCAUGUAGGCGGAGGUUCCAGGUAAAUCCGGUACCUUUUAACGCUGAGGUGUGAUGACGAGGCACUACGGUGCUGAAGUAACAAAUGCCCUGCUUCCAGGAAAAGCCUCUAAGCAUCAGGUAACACGAAAUCGUACCCCAAACCGACACAGGUGGUCAGGUAGAGAAUACCAAGGCGCUUGAGAGAACUCGGGUGAAGGAACUAGGCAAAAUGGUGCCGUAACUUCGGGAGAAGGCACGCUGAUAUGUAGGUGAAGCGGUUUACCCGUGGAGCUGAAAUCAGUCGAAGAUACCAGCUGGCUGCAACUGUUUAUUAAAAACACAGCACUGUGCAAACACGAAAGUGGACGUAUACGGUGUGACGCCUGCCCGGUGCCGGAAGGUUAAUUGAUGGGGUUAUCCGUAAGGAGAAGCUCUUGAUCGAAGCCCCGGUAAACGGCGGCCGUAACUAUAACGGUCCUAAGGUAGCGAAAUUCCUUGUCGGGUAAGUUCCGACCUGCACGAAUGGCGUAAUGAUGGCCAGGCUGUCUCCACCCGAGACUCAGUGAAAUUGAACUCGCUGUGAAGAUGCAGUGUACCCGCGGCAAGACGGAAAGACCCCGUGAACCUUUACUAUAGCUUGACACUGAACACUGGUCCUUGAUGUGUAGGAUAGGUGGGAGGCUUUGAAGUGUGGACGCCAGUCUGCAUGGAGCCAUCCUUGAAAUACCACCCUUUAAUGGCUGGUGUUCUAACGUGGACCCGUUAUCCGGGUUGCGGACAGUGUCUGGUGGGUAGUUUGACUGGGGCGGUCUCCUCCUAAAGAGUAACGGAGGAGCACGAAGGUUAGCUAAUCCUGGUCGGACAUCAGGAGGUUAGUGCAAAGGCAUAAGCUAGCUUGACUGCGAGAGUGACGGCUCGAGCAGGUGCGAAAGCAGGUCUUAGUGAUCCGGUGGUUCUGAAUGGAAGGGCCAUCGCUCAACGGAUAAAAGGUACUCCGGGGAUAACAGGCUGAUACCGCCCAAGAGUUCAUAUCGACGGCGGUGUUUGGCACCUCGAUGUCGGCUCAUCACAUCCUGGGGCUGAAGUAGGUCCCAAGGGUAUGGCUGUUCGCCAUUUAAAGUGGUACGCGAGCUGGGUUUAGAACGUCGUGAGACAGUUCGGUCCCUAUCUGCCGUGGGCGCUGGAGAAUUGAGGGGGGCUGCUCCUAGUACGAGAGGACCGGAGUGGACGCAUCACUGGUGUUCGGGUUGUCAUGCCAAUGGCAUUGCCCGGUAGCUAAAUGCGGAAGAGAUAAGUGCUGAAAGCAUCUAAGCACGAAACUUGCCCCGAGAUGAGUUCUCCCUGAGACUUUAAGUCUCCUGAAGGAACGUUGAAGACGACGACGUUGAUAGGUCGGGUGUGUAAGCGUAGCGAUACGUUGAGCUAACCGAUACUAAUGAACCGUGAGGCUUAACCUU